UACGGAGGAUGCGAGCGUUAUCCGGAUUUAUUGGGUUUAAAGGGUGCGUAGGCGGGCUUUUAAGUCAGCGGUAAAAAUUCGGGGCUCAACCCCGUCCGGCCGUUGAAACUGGCGUUCUUGAGUGGGCGGGAAGUAUGCGGAAUGCGUGGUGUAGCGGUGAAAUGCAUAGAUAUCACGCAGAACUCCGAUUGCGAAGGCAGCAUACCGGCGCCCUACUGACGCUGAGGCACGAAAGCGUGGGUAUCGAACAGG
rnacentral:rRNA from 1 species